CGCAGGCUGACCCGGAACCAGUUCCGUGUCUAACUGGUACCUGGUCGGAACCUGGACCCGGGCUGCUUUCUACGUCGGACCCGGUUCGGUUUCUCGGUCAGACCCGGUUCACCUCUGAUUGUUUCCAGUCGUGGUCGGAAAACAAAUUCUCAAACACGCCUGAAAGCUCCUGAGGAAAAAGCCGCGGAGGAUGCCAGAGGCCUGACCCAGCGCCCCCGAGGCGGCGGGAAGCGGCGGCUGGGGCUCAGCAGUUAUGAGAACAGAACAAGAUGUAAAAUGCAACUGCUUGAAGGCCCUGGAAUACAACCAAAGCAAUUAGAGACAGGAGGGACUACAACCAUUUUAAAAAGGAAAGGACAUAAGGUGCUGAGAUCAGGAACUGUGGAAAUAGCAUCUACAGGGUUACCUCAUGGCUGACUUCUUUCCAUGUCUUCCUGUGAAUGCUGUCGUUAUUGGUGCAGCUCCAUACAAGAAAUAGCUGAGACUGCACAGAACCCUCUUUGUCAGCCAGUCUUUCCUCUCACCCCAUCUGGAGAGCUCCUAGAAACUUCUGACAACUAAAAGAGAUAACCUUGAUCCAUUUGAAGUUAUCCUUCUUAAUUAGAAUGCAUAAGCUACACAGGAGUAUGUCUGGACUCCAUCUAAACAAACCUUUCUGACAACAUAAAUCCAGAAGGAUAAAUCAUUCAAACUGGAGAAAUCUUUUGAGCUGUGAAAAGGCAAGAAAGAGAGGGACAGAAGGAAAGGAAAACAUUUUGGAGAGAUUCUGAUGAUGAGACAGGAAUUAGAUGAGACAAAUUAAACUAAGUUGCUCCCAAUUCCUACAGCUAAAAAGAGCUUUAAAUAUGAUAUAAUGGUGUCCAGCCACUUCAUUUUAUAGAUGAGGAAACUGAGUCCCAGAAAGCUAAAGAAUGUCUUCAAUGGAAUGCAACCAAGUUCUUUUUCUACUUAUGGUGAAAGAAUGCAAUGAUCUGUCAAAGAGAUGCGUUACGUCACAAGUUGUAGGAAACAAGAUUUCAGAUAGUUUUGAAAACUGAGGUCUGUUUAACCAUAAUUCCUUUUUUCACGUACAUAUUGAGUCACUAUGCUGUCUUAGAAACCUCUGCUUCACAUAGGAAUAUGGUCAUUCAUUAACCAUGUAAGUUAUUAGAUUUGUGCUCAAUACAGUAGCCACUAGCCACAUGUGACUAAUUGAAUUUUAAAUUAAUGAAAAUUAAAUAAAAUGUAAAAUUUAGUUCCUCAGUUACACUAGCCACAUUUCAAGCUACAUGUGGCAAAUGGCAAUUAUACAGGGCAGGGUACACAGAAUUUCCAUCAUUGCUGAAAGUUCUCUCGGAUUGUUCUCGUAUAGAUAGAUCAUCAACUGUAAAGAGUAUGAGAAGAGUACAGCACAUAAUGUGAUGCGGUAUCCAGUGUGUAGUGCCUAAAAGCAUUGUUCAUAAUUUAUGUAGGUUUAUAAGCAAAUUUACAACCAACUUUGGCAAAUUAGCAGGUUUAUGUCUUCUUAAACCUUCUGUCCCUCCCCUUUUCACUGUACUUUUGUCUUCUCUAAUAUUCUUCACUUUUGAGUGUUCAGUAAAUCUUUGUGAGUACCCUAUUUAUUCCCUCUUGGGUGCACUGCUUGAUUACAUUUCACACUGUCGAUUGAAUACCUACUGUGUGACAAACAUUGCAGUAGAUAACUAAAAAGAGAGAAUUAGACACUCUGUGAUAGUGAAUUAGGCAGGAGGAAAACAUGUUUCCAGAAUCCAUUCAGGACAGAAAAUGAGCUCUUCUCAUUAUUUGAAUUAGCAAAAGCAAGUAUUAUUAACAUGAUUAUGUAGACUAAGAGAUGGGAGAUUAUAAUGAGGGGUUUAGUGACUUGCUCAGAAUAACACAGGUGAUAUAAAGGCAUCCUCAGGCUGGAAUCCAAGUCUUUUUACGCCAGGUUCAGUGCUUUUUCUAAUCUGCUACCCCACUCAGAGUAGACAUUGGAUUAUGCCAAAUUCCUAAUUUCUGACAUCUGCCAAUGAAUCAUCAAAUAAGUUGUUCCUUCCUUCCAUACAUCAACAUUAUGUUUAAGUCUAAUUUUCAGAGUUUCUUUGAAUAAAGACAGAAUUAUAUUUGUGUCUUUACAUGGACUUCUCUGGAACACAGGUAAGUGCCUGUAGAAGGUCCUUGUGUUAAAUCAACCUGUGCUUGAUGUUCUCUUAAUACUUAGAACUCUUAGGGAUUGUUAGAGCUUAAAUAUAAAUUAAACCAACGUUCUUUCUAUUAAGAAAAAAAGAAUAGCUAUAAUUCUCAUUAGCGGGCAGGUGAAUAAACUGCACCAUUUGCAGGCAGUCAGAAGAGCAGUAGCGUAGCAUACAGAGUUUGAGAUUUGACACUUCCCAUGCCAUUCUGUAUGGAAGAGUGAUUCAUUUAGGCACACCUAAAUCCAGAUGUUAGCUAGGUCUUCAAUAGAUUUUCUCUUUCCAUCAGCCCUUCCUUGGAAAUUUGGCACCACCAUGCCAUCAUUGAAAUGGCUUGGUGAUGUGCUGUAACAGCCCAUUACGAACCUUCUUGGAAGCACCUUAUUUGAAAGUGCUCCACCUACACCACAGUCCACUCAGUACAAAGGUUAGGAUAGUAAGAUUCCUCUCACACAUUCAAGUUAUCAAUCAAAUAUUGGUUUUUAUGUUUUGAUGGGGUCUCAGGAUACUCUAUGUCACUUGCAAUUAUUUUAAUCAUAAAUCAUAUUAUAGUGAGAUGGUACCGCAUUUAUUUAUAAAAGGAAUCUAGCUAGAGAUUGUCCUUAUCUUCUUCAAAUAGGAACUUCCAAUAAUCUUGUCAUAUUUUCUUAUCCUACUCAUCACAUUUGCUGUGCAGGAUUUAACUGGCUGAAACUUUUUCCCAGUCCUUCAUAAAGUACUUCCCUGACUCCAUUAUUCUUUUCACUUUGUCAUACUCUCCUGCCAAAACGAACAAAGAAAACAAAGCAAACAAAUCAGGAAAUGUCCUCUUUAUAAUGACUUUUCUACCUUUUAGUGGCUCAUAUUCUUUUCUUCCCAACCCAUCAAUUUAAAGAAUCUUCCCUUUCCUUAUCUACAAUUCCUUUGUUCCUCUCUUUCAGGGUUUUCUUAUAGUAUCUUAGAGUUUAAAGAUUCUCAUAACCAACAAUACUGUUCAUGCAUUUUUAAUACACUUUUCUUACAAUAACAAAACUAUAUUCAUACGUUGAAUAAUAUAUAUGCUGCCCAGCGUAAUGAAAUUCAUUUUUUCAGAGCAGACACUCCCUAGCUAUGUGGCUUUGAGCAAAUGACUUUAUCAUUUUGGAAUCCAAUGUUCUCAUCUGAAAGAUUAAAUGGAAAAAACAUAAUAAAAAUUUUUAUUGCUUGUAUUUUAUUUUUCUCAGUUUUCUUUUAAAAGAGUCUGGUAAGAAAAACAUAGUAGGAGUUCCUGUUUUGGCUCAGCAGUA